GCGCACCAGUCGCGAAAACUUCACACUGUGCGAAAGCACGAUGAGGGAAUCCCAAGUGCUUGCACGUAAGUGUAAGCUGUUUCUCUGUUUAAAACGCAGAGAGAGUAAGGGCUGGGUAAGACGGGUGCCAGCCGCCGCGGUAAUACCUCGCAGCUCAAAGUGGUGACCGUUAUUAUUGGGGCCUAAAACGUCCGUAGCCGGUUUAAUAAAUGCCUGGGUAAAUCGUGUAGCUUAACUAUUACGAAUUCCGGGUAGACUGGUUAAACUCGAGACCGGGAGAAGUUAGAGGUACUCCGUGGGGUAGAGGUGAAAUUCUGUAAUCCUAGGGGGACCACCA
rnacentral:rRNA from 1 species